GUGGGGAAUAUUGCACAAUGGGGGAAACCCUGAUGCAGCGACGCCGCGUGGAGGAUGACGGCCUUCGGGUUGUAAACUCCUUUUGUCAGGGACAAUGGUGAUGGUACCUGACGAAUAAGCCACGGCUAACUCUGUGCCAGCAGCCGCGGUAAGACAGAGGUGGCGAGCGUUGUUCGGAAUUACUGGGCUUAAAGGGCGCGUAGGCGGGGGUGUAAGUCUGGGGUGGAAUGCUACAGCUCAACUGUAGAGCUGCCUUGGAAACUGCAUUACUUGAGUCGGUGAGGGGAAGGCGGAAUUCCUGGUGUAGCGGUGAAAUGCGUAGAUAUCAGGAGGAAGGUCUGUGGCGAAGGCGGCCUUCUGGCACUUGACUGACGCUGAGGCGCGAAAGCGUGGGGAGCAAACAGGAUUAGAUACCCGGGUAGUCC
rnacentral:rRNA from 1 species